UUGCUCAAGACAGUAUGGUGAUGUAAAUCUAGUUAGCUGCAGCCAGAGCUUCUGGCUGCAGCUAACUAGAUUUACAUCACCAUACUGUCUUGGCUCAA
rnacentral:pre_miRNA from 1 species